GUCCUUGCCUUUGGAGAAUAGCCUUGGUGUCCCAGCUCUGCAUAUGUGCCCUUGAGGGGGGUGGUGGAGGACCGAAAGCUGGUGGCCGUUGGGUCAUGGGGGUAAAUGAAACACCUGGUCCGUGGGGACCUGGCAGACUUUUCUAGCCUCGGAGGACAUCCGGGGUCUGCAGUGAUGCCAGCCGCCCGGCCACCUCUUUGUGUCCUCUAGUGAGAGUCCAGUUCCUAAACCAGAAGCCCGAGGAGGUUCUGACUGGGGAAAGGGGUUAAGCUGUUGCAUUUCAUUCUGUUCCUCGGAAACAAUGAGGUGGCCACUGCUACUGCACAUAUUUUUGAAACAGUCCCGUGGAAGGCUGUUUGCAGCCGGCAUCAUGGAAGACAAUAUCCAUCUCAGAGGGAGAGUUGCUUUGGGGGUUUUCCGACGACUGCAUACAGAACUUCCUUGUAUUUCGGAUUUAAACCAGGAGACCAGAAUGUUGACUCUAGGUCAGAUUUGCCAUGAAACAGAAUUCCAGGCCUAGAUAGAUCAUGUAAUGCUAUAAAAAUAGUUAUCAAGUGUUGAGAUCAGCGUCUUUGGGCUUCUCAGUUUCUGUAGUUGGCAUACUUUUAAAGAAUUUAUAGACUUUGGACUUUGAUUAAAUGCUAUUAAAACAUUUCCAAGCCCAACGCAUCUAGGAAUAAGAAAACUGCAUUUUAACUUCGUCUUUGCCAGUUAAGACCUGAACAAGCUGUUCCACCUCUGGUGGCCUUGGCUUCCUCCCUCAUGAAGUGGUUUAGAUGAACCAGAUAGUUUUAAAGCUUCAAGCUCACUCCUCACUGCCCCCUCCUCCCAGUAGUCUUUAUUUGAUCUACCAUAUUUAAGACUUGGCUAUAAAAGUGAUAGUUUGAUAUUAUGGCCUUUACCACCUUUGAAUCUGACUUUCCAGUUCCUCACUUUGCUUUUGGUCCUAUUUGAAGCCGUGUGUCAUAAGCCACUAACCCACCUGAAGGAACGUUUCCCCAGAUUUCUCCCUCCUCACUGACUUCAUCCUCAGUAGAUCAUCAGUAGCCGUCACUGUGUGACCUUCCUUCUCCCUGGCGUAGCUGCUCCCUGAAGCGUGCCGUGGAAGGGCAAAGCACAGUGAGAAACAGUCACCUGGCAGUCAGAUCCAUGCCUGAGUCCUGCUUUCCUCGAUGGUUUUUCCUGCUCAUCUCCAUCCUCACCAAGGGCACCAGCUUCCAUCAAUGACUUUAAUAUGAAUGAUGUUCCCAAACACAAGCUUAAAUAUUUCCAAGGGAGACGCCAUCGGUGCUUCGCAAAGGUUUAAACAAAUCAAUAGGAAGUGACAAGAUAAUUUUUCAAAAGCGAGAAGAACCAGUACUAUUUUGUUCUCCCCCUUUGAGGGUAUGAUUUUUUUUAAGUGAUUUAAUUCAGAUUGAAUGGUUUGUAGUCUGACACAUAAAUGAGGAAGAUGUUUGAGUGCAGCACUAAAUCUUUUGAGCUCUUAGUAAACUAAAAGCAAUUCCUGGAUCUAUAUUCUGAUUCUUGAAGGCUGCAAUCCACUUUUUGCGAAUUUCUCCCCCCUCCCCCCUUUCACUGCUAGUAGUUUAGUCUUCUAAACAGUUGCCAUCUUUGAAUCCUCCUUCAGGCAAGGAUUUUUCCAUGGAAUAGUAAAACUAGAAUGCAUCUUGGAGGAUCUAGUCCAGCCCCUACAUCUUAAAGAUUUGGGAAAGCACCAAAUGGUGGUUAAGAAUCAGUGCUCUGAAACUAGCUGACCUAUGUAUGGAGUUUGCCUCUGCAGCUUGAUGGCACUGUGACCUUGACGCCUCUAAGGAAAUUAUUUAGACAUAGAUUAUUUUAUAAUCGUGAAAAAGUAACAAUCAUAGUUGAGCGUUCUCUCCAGAUGAUCUCACCUUUGCUCAUUUCUUCCUCUCUGAAUUUAGGCAAUAGUGACUCUUCUCCUGAUCUGUGCUGAGCACUGGUGAUUGUUAAUGAAAUAAUCCGUAGUAAGUGUAGGGCACCUUGUGUGCUUCAGGGAUGAUUGUUGUUGAUAAACCAGGUGCCAAGAGUGAGUGAUUUUGCUGAGGACUACACAGCUCUCAACUGGCAGAGCUGUGCUUCAACUCCUGUCACUUCUCUUUCCCCUGAACUGCACUACCUAGAAGUGAUGGCAGCAUGGGGACAUAUUUUAAAUUAAAUGACAUAGUUAAGAAAAAAAAUUCCUUGCCUCUUUUGACUUAAAAAGAACAUGGUUUCUAAAGGAAAAUGUUCAUGUAUCCAAGCAGCGAUGUGAAUAGAAACAUUUUCUAGACAAAGACCCUCAGCAACUUAAGACUUGUGUGUGGCAGGCAUCUCAAAUAUUAACGUUUCAUCACAGCCUCCAUCAAUCUUGCUUUAUAAAAUGAAGGGCUGACCCCACGCCGUUUGAGGAUUCAGAGUCAUGGGCAUCUGUGCCAAGUAGAACUUACUGACUGCAGGGCCCGCUUUCAAGUAAUUAAGAGAUGACUGCAUGCUCUGCAUCAUAUUGCUUGUGCUGGUGAGAAGCAACAGAUGCUUUAGCGAAGGUGACCGAACUAUAGGCUGGUCAUCGAAGCAGGGGGGGCCUGGGUUUGCUGUAGAAUAACUGGGCCGCAGGUCACCCAGGUGCUGACGAACAGCUUCUCGUACACCCGAGGGAUCCCCACCCCAUUGGUGAGGAGUUGACUGUAGGUCUAGCACAAUUUUCAUGCUUGAGUCAUGUUUGAGUAUCUUUUGAAUCUGAAUACACGAGAUUAUCGAGAAAUGAUCCUCUGCUGAGAUACAAGCCAUGUGAAAAUUCCCAAACCUAAACAUCCCCUUUUGAUAAAUAUUAAUUAUAUUUGAGGGAAAGCAAAAGUGACCUGGAAGCAUGGAUCUGAAAAAAUCCAUAAUCUCUUCUGCCUUUCCCCUUCCCGUAUAAAUCCCGGAGGAAGGACAACUUGUAGAGUGUUAAUGUUAGGCUAAGUUUUAAAAAGAUUCCAGCUGCACCCCCUUGGUGUAACUAAACUGAUGUCUUUAAUUAAGAAAGCUGUUUGGGUAAGCUUUAAUGACCAGGGUGCUCAGAAACCACUUAUCACCAGCACUAGGAAGGUGAAACCAUUACAGCAUUGGCCAAAAGCUAGCAAGCCCUUCAAUGUGAGAAGAACAUUUUUUAAAAAAUAUCAAAGACAAAGUUGAAAUGGGUGUGAGUAUAAUCAUUGGUAAAACUUUAGAAUUCUCAUAAAAGAAAUCACUAAAUCAGUAAAUCAUCAUACCAUUAAACUGGCUCCAAUGUUUGAAGUGGUAAAUAGAUCUUACAGUUGUUCACUGUGUGUCUAGUUACAUUAAAUACUGACUUAAAUGACCCAAGUUUGAACAAAGAUGGAAGUGGGUGAUGAGAAUUUCUACACCAGGAGGUGGUAACCUUUUCCUGUAAAGAGCCAGAUAGGAAAUAUUUUACGUUUUGUGGUCCUUGUGUAUCUCUGUUGUGUAUUCUUUGAUUUGCAGAAGAGGGGAUUGUUUGUUUACAUAAAUCCUUUAAAAAGGUAAAAACUAAUCUUUGCUUGAAAAGAGGCUUUUCACUGGAAAUCAAAAUAAAUGUCAGUAAACCAAAAAAGAAAAAAAAA